rnacentral:rRNA from 1 species
UGUAAUACUGUAUAAUCCCUGCGGGGGAAAGAUUUAUCGCUACAUGAUGAGCCUAUGUUAGAUUAGCUAGUUGGUGGGGUAAUGGCCUACCAAGGCAGUGAUCUAUAGCUGGUCUGAGAGGAUGAUCAGCCACACUGGAACUGAGACACGGUCCAGACUCCUACGGGAGGCAGCAGUGGGGAAUAUUGGACAAUGGGCGCAAGCCUGAUCCAGCUAUGCCGCGUGAGUGAGGAAGGCCUUAGGGUUGUAAAACUCUUUCAGUAGGGAAGAU